GUUGCUUUGGCAGAGUUAUGCAUUGGACUUAGGAUCCAAUAAUGUGGGUGUUAAUCCCACAGGUAAUACU
rnacentral:tRNA from 1 species